rnacentral:rRNA from 1 species
GAUUGAACGCUGGUGGCAGGCCUAACACAUGCAAGUCGAGCGGCAUCGAGUGAUCGCAGUUUACUGAGUUCAUGUCGGCGAGCGGCGGACGGGUGAGUAAAGUCUGGGAAUCUGGCCGAAGGAGGGGGAUAACUGCUGGAAACGGCAGCUAAUACCGCAUGAAGUCGCGAGACCAAAGUGGGGGACCUUCGGGCCUCACGCCUUCGGAUGAGCCCAGAUGAGAUUAGCUGGUAGGUAAGGUAAAGGCUUACCUAGGCGACGAUCUCUAGCGGGUCUGAGAGGAUAGCCCGCCACACUGGAACUGAGACACGGUCCAGACUCAUACGGGAGGCAGCAGUGGGGAAUAUUGCACAAUGGGCGAAAGCCUGAUGCAGCCAUGCYACGUGUGUGAAGAA